AAUAUGUCCAAUAAAUUAUAUAUUUUUAUAUAUUUUUUCUCUGAAUUAAUUUUACCACUACAUAUCAUACACACUAAGGGCUAUUUACAAGUUGCUCUGUUGCGUAGAGGACCUUCAAUUCUGAUUUACCUAAAGUCCACGUGCACUAUUUACUGACAGUGUUUGACCCCAGCCCAUGUUUGAUUCCAAAGGUAAGCUACUUCCAAAAGACCCACAAGCGUGUGAAGUUCUCUACCCUAGAAGAUCCCUAGAAUUACCUUAGAAUCCAGUCUACAUUCUUGUGAAUCAUGAAGUCCUUGGCUCUAGCUUUAAUCCUGUGUGUGCUGCUUCCACUGUUCCAUGCUUCUUGUUACACGAAGCCUAUGACCUUGAAGCCAGGCAUCAUUACCCAUUGCCGUGAUGACAAGGACAAGACAUGGCAUCCUAUUGGUUCCCACUGGAGGAACAGUGACUGCA